AUUGAACGCUGGCGGCAGGCCUAACACAUGCAAGUCGAACGAGUGGCGGACGGGUGAGUAAUGUCUGGGAAACUGCCUGAUGGAGGGGGAUAACUAAUGGAAACGGUAGCUAAUACCGCAUACCAUCCGGUGUGCACCGAUUGGAUUAGCUAGUAGGUGGGGUAAAGGCUCACCUAGGCGACGAUCCCUCGCUGGUCUGAGAGGAUGACCAGCCACACUGGAACUUAGACACGGGCCAGACUCCUACGGGAGGCAGCAGUGGGGAAUAUUGCACAAUGGGCGCAAGCCUGAUGCAGCCAUGCCGCGUGUAUGAAGAAGGCCUUCGGGUUGUAAAGUACUUUCAGCGGGGAGGCGUUACCCGCAGAAGAAGCACCGGCUAACUCCGUGCCAGCAGCCGCGGUAAUUC
rnacentral:rRNA from 1 species